rnacentral:rRNA from 1 species
UAGGGAAUCUUCCGCAAUGGGCGAAAGCCUGACGGAGCAACGCCGCGUGAGUGAUGAAGGUCUUCGGAUCGUAAAACUCUGUUAUUAGGGAAGAACAAAUGUGUAAGUAACUAUGCACGUCUUGACGGUACCUAAUCAGAAAGCCACGGUUAACUACGUGCCAGCAGCCGCGGUAAUUCGUAGGUGGCAAGCGUUAUCCGGAAUUAUUGGGCGUAAAGCGCGCGUAGGCGGUUUUUUAAGUCUGAUGUGAAAGCCCACGGCUCAACCGUGGAGGGUCAUUGGAAACUGGAAAACUUGAGUGCAGAAGAGGAAAGAGGAAUUCCAUGGGUAGCGGUGAAAUGCGCAGAGAUAUGGAGGAACACCAGUGGCGAAGGCGACUUUCUGGUCUGUAACUGACGCUGAUGUGCGAAAGCGUGGGGAUCAAACAGG